AUCUAAUAGCUCAGUCGGUAGACCAUGAGACUCUUAUUCUCAGGGUUGUGGGUUUUAGCCCCACUAUGGGUA